GACGAACGCUGGCGGCGUGCCUAAUACAUGCAAGUUGAGCGCUGAAGGUUGGUACUUGUACCAACUGGAUGAGCAGCGAACGGGUGAGUAACGCGUGGGGAAUCUGCCUUUGAGCGGGGGACAACAUUUGGAAACGAAUGCUAAUACCGCAUAAAAACUUUAAACACAAGUUUUAAGUUUGAAAGAUGCAAUUGCAUCACUCAAAGAUGAUCCCGCGUUGUAUUAGCUAGUUGGUGAGGUAAAGGCUCACCAAGGCGAUGAUACAUAGCCGACCUGAGAGGGUGAUCGGCCACAUUGGACUGAGACACGGCCCAAACUCCUACGGGAGGCAGCAGUAGGGAAUCUUCGGCAAUGGACGAAAGUCUGACCGAGCAACGCCGCGUGAGUGAAGAAGGGUUUCGGAUCGUAAAACUCUGUUGGUAGAGAAGAACGUUGGUGAGAGUGGAAAGCUCAUCAAGUGACGGUAACUACCCAGAAAGGGACGGCUAACUACGUG
rnacentral:rRNA from 1 species